UGCUGUUUUAAAAGUGUUAGUGUGAUCCUUUUUUAAAUUACCCCCGACUUAGACGAUUGAAGACAUUCUGAAGAACAAACCUGGAGGAGAGAGGAUCGUGAAUGAGUAUGCUCGGACAAAAAGCCUAACAGAUAGCAGAAGACGCGAUAUGGUCAAGAUAUUGGUUGCACAAAUGACAAGUGAACAUGGGACAUGUCCUUCAAGGCGUGUUAAAGAGGACUACGCAAAGGGCAUCAUUGCUUUGUUCCCAUACCUGGCCGAUCCUAGGAGCAGGUUAUGAGCAGUAUUACAAUGCAGAAGAUGGGAGUGGAUAUCUAGCAUGGAGACUGACAUUUGUUCAAAGGGAAGCAUCAGAGUGACGACAGAAGACCAUGCAUCAGUCACUGACGUGUCGUUAGUCUCAUGACCAGAAAAUAAUUGUAUGUAAACAUCUGUAUAAGCAAGUGUUUCUUAGAAAUACUGAAAGAGUAAGAUACUUAGUAUUAAUUCUGUUUCUGAGUCAAAAAAAAUCCUACUUUUCAUCUGGUGACAUAACUGCAUGCAUG